CCCGCCGCGCGCCCGACACCCGCCGGGGCCCCGCCGCCAGCGCCUCCCCCGCGCACCCCCCCCGUCUCCGCUCUGCCCCGGGCGCUGGCGACCUUCACCCCGCGCCGCGCCCCCCGCGCUGUGCCAAGCGCGCCGUAAUCUAAUCUCUGCCGGCAGCCCGGGCCCCCGCGUCUCGGCUUGGGCACCGGGGGUCCAGCCCAGGAGGGGGCUGCGCAGAGGCUGGGAGGAGGGUGGUUGGGGGCGCGGCCCGGGCGGCGCCCGGCCCCUCGCGGCCUGCCCCUCCCCCGCAUCUGUGAGAUGGUGCGGUGAUAGGGCGGCCCCGAUCUGGGCUCAGAUAAAGUUUAAAAUAUUCCAUUCUGCAAGUCCCGUCCUGAUAAGAUCGUUCUGUCGGGACGGGCUGAAAUUGUGAUCUUAUCUGGCGCGGUUGACUCUCCCAGGCUUUCUAUGUAGAAGCAGAGAGAGAGACCUGGGAGGGAGAGGGGACACCCGGGGCCGCGUGGAGAUGCCUGGUCAAGUGGCAGGGACCCGCCCGCGCCCACCCCACCGGUGCCGCUGCAGAGCCGCAGGACAGGGGAGGGGGCAGCGCGCAGCUGCCGCAGCCUAGGCACUUGGCUCCAGCCCCCCAGCUUCCCCUUCCCCGGCCCCUGUGCCCUAGCGCCGGGGUUCUCAACCCAAGCCCUGCUUGCCUGGCGACACCUCCUGGACCCUGCAAGUGUCCCAGCCAAGGCGACAUGGGCCGCAAAUGGUGCCCUUGGCAUCCCAGGGGGCUGCUCCGGUUCAGAGAAGCGCCUCCCAGGACGCAGCCCCGGGCCGGGGUCGCCCCUGCACGCGACCAAGUUUCUCGCUGGUCCGGCUCCCUGCGGGGUCAGAGGCUGCUGCCCCGCCGCCACAUUGCCGGUGCCCCAGCGGGCCGAGGCGCAGGUCUUCUUCCCCGUGGCGCCUCCUCGGAGCCUGACCGGCAGGUUGUUUGAGCCCUGCCGGGAGGCCACGACGAAAACCCGCCCGCUGCCCAGCCGCAGGCGCCCGGACACUGCCUCCUUUGUCCACACGCCCGCUGCCACCAGGACCCCUUGUGCGGAAUGGGGAUCACAGGCAUGAACCGGGUUCCCGUAACCCAACUCCCCCGAGCAAACGGGACCUGUUUUCCGAAAGUCGCCUUCUAUCAUGUCAACUCAAGUAUUAAAAACCACCCACAGGUCCCGAUCUGCGCUGGUUCUCUGGUUUCUUUUUCCUUCCUCCCCUGAGCGCCUCUGUUGGGUUCUGGGGCGCGCGCGCGCGCGUGUGUGUGUGUGUGUGUGUGUGUGUGUGUUUCGCUGUGAUGAGAAAUGCAGAUAGCUCCGGCAGGGAGAUCGCAGGUUGGGAACCGAUCACCAGAGUUGAUAAGGCCGCCAGCGCCAGCGAGAGCACGGAGCUCAGCCCAUCAGGGCGGGCAGAGCGCGCGCACUUUGAGAACUGGGACCGCGGCGGGUGCACUGUGCGCCCUCGCGGGGCAUCCUGGUUGCGCCCUGGGACCGGGCUGGGGAAGGGCCCGAACGAGGGAGGCGGGGCCGCUCGCCGCCGGGGGCGCCUCCUCCCCUUGGCAGAUCUCAGCACGUUAAGAUGCGGAGGCUGAUUGUCACCAAGCGGCGGCCCCCGCCCGCCCUCCGCCAGCGCCUGUGCGUGCCCCCUGCCCUGGGCUCACCUGCGGCCCGGCCAAGAGUGCGGAGGGGCGGGGGCCGAGCGCCUUGGGCCGCCCACCCCCACCCGCGCCCCCAUCAAAGCCCUGGCGCAGCUGCCCGCGCCUCUGUGCGCCUUUUGUUCCGUGCGGAGAUAGAUGUGCCGCGCUGAUAAGGCGAGCAACCGAUGGUGGCUGCGAUAGGCGCUUCCAUUUAUUAACUUCAAACGUGGGAGCGGGGGCAGGGCGAGGCGGGAGCGCGGCCUUGGCCGGCCAGAUGGCGAAGGCGAUAGGCCGGGCCGCCUCGGGGAGCGCGGGGCCGGGGCAGCUCGGGACCCCCAGCGCCCCCAGCCCGUCGGGCUUUCCUCCCGCCCGAGUCGAUGUGAGCUCCGAUAAGCGCUGGGCCGGUCUGCCCGAUGGCGAUCGCCAAGAGCGAUAAGAGGCCUUAUCUUUGGCCACCAGGCCCGGCCGGGUUGGAGAACAGCGCGGGGGCGUCGAGGCUGGGGCGAGUGGGGGUAUGGAACGGCCCGGGUGGGGGCCGGGGGACCGGCGUCCCUGCGCUGGUCUGUCUGGGGGAGCUUUCUCCCCAAACACGCUUAAUUACCAAGAAGUUGAUCCUCCCCUGUGGCCGGUGGUACAGUCCAUCAAAAUGAAAGAAAACUGACUUUGCCCUGGCCGGGAGGGGGAGCGGGAAGGACACCCCGCCCCGAUUCCUCUUAGAUGGUGCGAGACCGCUGGAGGUGGGUUUGUCACCUCCAGAGAGAGGAGAGGGUGUUUUCCCCUUGAAUCAUGCUGGUGUUGUUGGCAGUUCCUGGCAAGAACAAGUGUACGCUGCUUGGAGUUUUCUUAAAAAAAAAAAAAAAAAAA